rnacentral:piRNA from 1 species
UGUUGCCCAGGCUGGAGUGCAGUAGCGCGA